rnacentral:rRNA from 1 species
AACGAACGCUGGCGGCAUGCCUAACACAUGCAAGUCGAACGAGACCUUCGGGUCUAGUGGCGCACGGGUGCGUAACGCGUGGGAACCUGCACUUAGGUUCGGAAUAACUCCCUGAAAGGGGUGCUCAUACCGGUUAAUGUCUUCGGACCAAAGAUUUCUCGCCUUUGGAUGGGCCCGCGUUGGAUUAGCUAGUUGGUAGGGUACAAGCCUGCCAAGGCGACGAUGCAUAGCUGGUCUGAGAAGAUGAUCAGCAACACUGGGACUGAGACACGGCCCAGACUCCGACGGAGAGGAGCAGUAGGGAGUAUUAGACAAUGAGCGAAAGCCUAAUCCAGCAAUGCGGCGGGAGUGAUGAAGGCCUUAGUAUUGUAAAGCUCUUUUACCCGAGAUGAUAAUGACAGUACCGGGUGAAGAAGCACCGGCUAACUCCGUG